rnacentral:rRNA from 1 species
GUUGAUUGUCUUGUUUUAUUUUGGUGUCUUAUAUGGGUUUUUAUUGAAAUAUCAUUUUGUUAUUGUAAUUUUUUGAUUUAAUUUUUUUUGCUAUAGAUUAUUUGUACUGUGAGGGGUUGAAUUUUAUUGAUUUUUUGGAAGCUGGUUUUGUUUGCUGUACCUUGUGUAUCAGGGUUCAUUGAAUUUUAUUAUUUAUUUUUUAUUUCCCGAUUUUGGGGGAGUUAAUGGUUUAUUUUAGUUACUGUUUCAUAAGUAUUAAUGAUAUUCUGUUGGUAGUGAAAUGUUAUUCGUCCUUAGUGGUUUCUGGUUUUUCAAGAAAUGAAUUUAAUUCAUGCACUUUAUUUAAUGGCUGUUGUUUGCUUUAGUUGCUUUUAUUAGGUGUUAAGAUUAAGGGGGAUUAGCUCCUUAUUUUAUUUUUAUAAUUUAUUCUUUUUGAUUUGGUUUUGUGGAUUUUAUAGUGAUUCUCAAUUUGAUUAUGUUGAAGUUUUAUUUGUUUAUUUAUUUAUUUAUUUGAAUUUAAUUUAUUUAUUGAAAUGUUUUCUUGCUUUGUUGUUUGGAUAGUAAUUAUUAUGUAAUUAGUAAAUUUCUCUGUUGUGUUGUUUAGGUUGGGAAUGUUAAUUUCUUUUAAGGAAUUAGGCAAAUUUUUUCAUGUCCGCCUGUUUAACAAAAACAUCUUUUCUUGUUAGUUUUUGAAGUAUGGCCUGCCCACUGACGUUUUUAUUUUAGUUGAAGGGCCGCGGUAUUUUGACCGUGCAAAGGUAGCAUAAUCAUUAGUUCUUUAAUUGUGAUCUGGUAUGAAUGGCUUGACGAGACAUGGGCUGUCUUAGGAUUAAGAAUGGUUUAUUGAAUUUGGUUUUUGAGUUAAAAUUCUUAAAUGUUUUUAUGGGACGAGAAGACCCUAUAGAGUUUAACAUUUGAUUUAUUCUUUGUUAUUUGUUUGUUUUUUAUGUUGAUUAAUUUUUGUGUUUUGUUGGGGUGAUGGGAGGAAUUUUCUUAACUCCUCUUUGAUUUAAUAUAUUUAUUUAUAUUUGAUUUGAUCCAUUUUUUUUGAUUAGAAGAUUAAAUUACCUUAGGGAUAACAGCGUUAUCUUCCUUGAGAGUUCUUAUUGGCGGGAAGGUUUGCGACCUCGAUGUUGGAUUAAGAUUAAUUUCCGGUGCAGGAGCUGGAUUAUGAUUGGGUCUGUUCGACCUUUAAAAUCUUACAUGAUCUGAGUUCAGACCGGCGUGAGCCAGGUUGGUUUCUAUCUAUAAUGGUGCUUAUACCUUAGUACGAGAGGACCGGGUAUUUGAAAUAAUUUUAUUGAUUUGGUUUAUUAUUAAUAUUGCUAUUUUGGCAGAUAAGUGCAUUGGAUUUAGAAUCUA